CCCUAGAGGAAAGCAGUGUCCCGUGAGCGUGACGAGAGUGUCUUGUGGUCGGUGCGCGACUGGUUCUCUACCUGCGGACCGUGUCCCCCGCCUCGCUCACGCUCCUCUGUCGCCACAGGCUCCGUACGCACCCCUGCUGCCCCGGACGGGCCGGGGCGCGGAGGCGGUAGCAACCUUCCCUCUGCAGUCGUAGGAGAUCUCUACGCCCCGUCCCGCGACUCUCCGGGAAACUGACCUUCGCCACUUUCUGCCUGACCAGGAAGCCCUGAAUCCCUGAAUUCCGUUUUCAGAGCCCACUCUCCGGGCUCUUGACCUUUCUUUUCCACCCACCCCGAGACGACUGCACCGGACCCCUCAUCCCCUUUUCUUUCACUUUCCUGAGGCGACCUGGUGGGGGACAUCUCCCUCACUGGGGGGGAAAGAAGCAUGGGGCCAGCAGGGGUCCUGGCGCUACCGGAGGAGGAGGCUGGAAGACAAGGCGCUCUCCCAGAUUCUUCAGCUUCUCCUAUGUAAUCAACUGCCCUUUUGGAAAUUGGUCAGGGAUUGUUGCUGGAUGCCGGUGUCACUGACGGGUCUUAAGCAUACCAUGCAGAAGUAACAUGUUCCCAGCUUUGGAAACAGAGCUAAAGCAGCAGACUCUUCCUGAGGCCUAUGAAGACUUUAUGUACCAUCACCUCCAGUACUAUGGCUACUUUAAAGAACCCUCACGUCCUUGAGCAGCAGCUCCUGGUGUUCAGGAGAACGUGACCUAACGUGGGAGAAGCCAAGGGAGCAGCCUUGGCCACCGUUUCUGACAUCACUGAAAAAUGUUCUCUCUUGGGGCUUCCCUGGUGGCGCAGUGGUUAAGAGUCCGCC